rnacentral:rRNA from 1 species
GACGAACGCUGGCGGCGUGCUUAACACAUGCAAGUCGAACGGAAAGGCCUAGCUUGCUGGGUACUCGAGUGGCGAACGGGUGAGUAACACGUGGGUGAUCUGCCCCUGACUUUGGGAUAAGCCUGGGAAACUGGGUCUAAUACCGGAUAUUCAUUUUUCCUCGCCUGGGGAUUUGUGGAAAGCUUUUGCGGUUGGGGAUGGGCCCGCGGCCUAUCAGCUUGUUGGUGGGGUAAUGGCCUACCAAGGCGACGACGGGUAGCCGACCUGAGAGGGGGAUCGGCCACACUGGGACUGAGACACGGCCCAGACUCCUACGGGAGGCAGCAGUGGGGAAUAUUGCACAAUGGGCGCAAGCCUAAUGCAGCGACGCCGCGUGAGGGAUGACGGCCUUCGGGUUGUAAACCUCUUUCAGCUCCGACGAAGCGCAAGUGACGGUAGGAGCAGAAGAAGCACCGGCCAACUACGUG